rfam:Bacillus sp. 2_A_57_CT2 genomic scaffold supercont1.15, whole genome shotgun sequence.
GGGAAGUUCCUACUCUGGACUAAAUGUUGGUAGUCCUGCCCUGAUACUCCGACAUGCAUCAAAAAUUUACCGUUUAGAUGUAUGAAGCUCGGUGAAGUCGGCGAAAAACUAACCUGUGAUGGUUAUGAAGUAGUCGGGGGGCUAUAAA